UGCCUUGUACGAUGCCAGCAUUACUGCUCUACUCUUUCCAAACCGCGGUUGUGGGGAUGCACACGGGCCCGGCCUUGGCACGAGUCUGGAUGCUGGUGAUCAACCCACUGAAGCUGCACUUUGUGUUGUAAGGGGAGGCUUCGCUCAAUUUUGCAGGGCGGGCGCUGGAGCCCAGAGGGGCCGGGGACCUCCCCACGGUCACGGAGCCUCCCUCAGCAAGCUUGGACUGAGCUUUGGAGAGGAGGUGCUGUGUCCUGAGCCGCUCCGCCAGCAAGAACCCGCCGCCCGAGUCUGAGUUAUAAGCUGGGCAUUGCUGACUUGAAGGGCUGUUGAGAUUUUCGCAGACUGCUGAGGCCACAGGAAGUCUUGGUCCCUGACUUAAUUAAUUGUGCCGGGCUACAGGGAACUAGAAAAAUGUGCUCCUAGAGAGAGCAGACAGGCUGUUCCCCUCUACCACCGCAGGCUAGCAGCGUGCACACACACAGCAUGCUGCAUGCUUGGUUUCCAAACCACGGCCUUCCAAACUGGGUUCUUUCCGGGUGCCGAUGCCAACUGUCCUGUUGACAGAGGUGAUGCUGACGUGUGUGCACAGGGUGCAGUUCAGAUAUAGCUCUAUUUACCUCUCUUACUAGUCUAAGGGAUUAGGGCCCCUGCUGUGUUCGUUGUUUAGAGCCCGUCUAGCAUCUAGUUCAUUUUGCAGCAUACAGUAGGCACAUUACAAACGCAUGUGUACUUGAGGGGCACCUGGGCGGCUCAGUCGGUUGGGUGUCCGACUUCAGCUCAUGUCAUGAUCUCUUGGUCCACAGGUUUGAGCCCCACGUCGGGCUCGGUGUUGACAGCUCAGAGCCUGGAGCCUGCUUCCGAUUCUGUCUCCCUCUCUCUCUCUGUCCUUCCCCUGCUCGUGCUCUGUCUCUCUCUUGGAAAUGAAUAAAUAUUAAAAAAAAUUUUUUUAAAAC
rnacentral:lncRNA from 1 species